GACGAACCACACAAACGUUAUUCGGAAUUACUGGGCUUAAAGGGUGCGUAGGCGGCGCAGAAAGUAGGGUGUGAAAUCCCUCGGCUCAACCGAGGAACUGCGCCCUAAACUACUGUGCUCGAGGGAGGUAGAGGUGAGCGGAACUUAGGGUGGAGCGGUGAAAUGCGUUGAUAUCCUAAGGAACACCGGUGGCGAAAGCGGCUCACUGGACCUCUUCUGACGCUGAGGGACGAAAGCUAGGGGAGCGAACGGG
rnacentral:rRNA from 1 species